rnacentral:rRNA from 1 species
AUGAACGCUGGCGGCGUGCCUAACACAUGCAAGUCGAGCGAACGGACGAGAAGCUUGCUUCUCUGAUGUUAGCGGCGGACGGGUGAGUAACACGUGGAUAACCUACCUAUAAGACUGGGAUAACUUCGGGAAACCGGAGCUAAUACCGGAUAAUAUUUUGAACCGCAUGGUUCAAAAGUGAAAGACGGUCUUGCUGUCACUUAUAGAUGGAUCCGCGCUGCAUUAGCUAGUUGGUAAGGUAACGGCUUACCAAGGCAACGAUGCAUAGCCGACCUGAGAGGGUGAUCGGCCACACUGGAACUGAGACACGGUCCAGACUCCUACGGGAGGCAGCAGUAGGGAAUCUUCCGCAAUGGGCGAAAGCCUGACGGAGCAACGCCGCGUGAGUAAUGAAGGUCUUCGGAUCGUAAAACUCUGUUAUUAGGGAAGAACAUAUGUGUAAGUAACUGUGCACAUCUUGACGGUACCUAAUCAGAAAGCCACGGCUAACUACGUG